rnacentral:rRNA from 1 species
GACGAACGCUGGCGGCGUGCUUAACACAUGCAAGUCGAACGGAAAGGCCCUGCUUGCAGGGUACUCGCGUGGCGAACGGGUGAGUAACACGUGGGUGAACUGCCCUGCACUUCGGGGUAAGACUGGGGAAAUGGGUGUAAUACAGGAUAGAGGCCAUUUUGAGUGAUGGGGGUGGAAAGUUUGUUGGGUGUAGGAUGAGCUCACGGGCUAUCAGCUUGUUGGUGGGGUAGUGACCUACCAAGGCGGGGACGGGUAGCCGGCCUGUGAGGGUGGACGGCCACAUUGGGACUGUGAUACGGCCCAGACUCCUACGGGGGGCAGCAGUGGGGAAUAUUGCACAAUGGGCGCGAGCCUGAUGCAGCGACGCCGCGUGGGGGAUGACGGCCUUCGGGUUGUAAACUCCUUUCGCUAGGGACGAAGCUUUUUGUGACGGUACCUAGAUAAGAAGCACCGGCUAACUACGUG